rnacentral:lncRNA from 1 species
GAUUAUUUUAUUUACAUGUAAAUUGAAACAAUAAAUAUUGUGCUUUGUCAUAAUUUAAAACUCAUUAUGUUGAAGUCUUUUCCAGUUGAUAAAAUUGCAAUUCAAAAACUUUUAGAUUUGUACUGUAUGGAUGGCACAGGAAGAGAACAAGAGUACAAGAACAUGAAACAUCUUAUUAUGAAUGUAUAUGUAUGUGAUCCUCAAAAAAUUAUUUUUCAAAACAAGAUAGAGAAUGAGCUUUAAAAUCCCAAGGAUCCUGCAAAAUGUCUAUUUGGUGUACUAGUCGAAUAAUAGUAUCUAAAAAUAAUGAAACUGUUUUAAAACACAUUAUGGGCAUGAGGAUGAUAUAGAGCACUUACAUAAAUACCAAAAUCAGAUAAAUAUCUCUUCAAAGUUUAUUUUGAGACUUUCUUCAAAAAUUAAACUUCAGACUGUCCAGGAUAGCAUAAUAGCAUAGGAGGCAAAUUAAAAAGAAUUAAUUUACUUACAAGAAGAGAUAUCACAAACAUUAAACUCUCUUAUGGCAUUGAUUUGAAAGAUGGGUAUAUGUACAAUGAUGAUGCAACCAGUGUUUAUUUUUGGGUUGAAUGCUUACAGAUUAUUUAUUUUUUCCAAUAUUAUUUUACAAACAACAGGGCAUACUAAUGGAUAUUCAUUCUGAAUUUAACAUUUAUGAUUUUUGUCUUAUUUUCCUUAAUACUGUGCCAAAAGGAAAUGUUAAUUAAGUUUGGCAAAUCCUUUAUCGCAAUCGAUGGAACUCAUGGGCUCAAUUCCUAUGACUUUGAACUUAUGACAGUAUUAGUAAAAGAUGAAUUUGGGAAUGGAUUUUGUACUGCUUUCUUAUUUUCAAAUAGAAAAGAUACCUACUUUAAUUUA